rnacentral:rRNA from 1 species
GACGAACGCUGGCGGCGUGCCUAAUACAUGCAAGUCGAGCGGACUAAUGGGAGCUUGCCCCCGUUAGUUAGCGGCGGACGGGUGAGUAACGCGUGGGCAACCUACCUGUAAGACUGGGAUAACUUCGGGAAACCGGAGCUAAUACCGGAUGACAUAAAGGAACUCCUGUUCCUUUAUUGAAAGAUGGCUUCGGCUAUCACUUACAGAUGGGCCCGCGGCGCAUUAGCUAGUUGGUGAGGUAACGGCUCACCAAGGCGACGAUGCGUAGCCGACCUGAGAGGGGGAUCGGCCACACUGGGACUGAGACACGGCCCAGACUCCUACGGGAGGCAGCAGUAGGGAAUCUUCCGCAAUGGACGAAAGUCUGACGGAGCAACGCCGCGUGAGCGAUGAAGGCCUUCGGGUCGUAAAGCUCUGUUGUUAGGGAAGAACAAAUGUGUAAGUAACUAUGCACGUCUUGACGGUACCUAAUCAGAAAGCCACGGCUAACUACGUGCCAGCAGCCACCGUAACAC